UACGUAGGGUCCGAGCGUUGUCCGGAAUUAUUGGGCGUAAAGGGCUCGUAGGCGGUCCGUCACGUCGGGAGUGAAAACUCAGGGCUCAACCCUGAGCGUGCUUCCGAUACGGGCGGACUAGAGGUAUGCAGGGGAGAACGGAAUUCCUGGUGUAGCGGUGGAAUGCGUAGAUAUCUGGAGGAACACCGGUGGCGAAGGCGGCAUCCUGGACCAUUACUGACACUGAAAAGCGAAAGCCAGGGGAGCAAACGGG
rnacentral:rRNA from 1 species